UUACGUUACUUAAAAUGUAUAUGAAUUCAGUUUGACGAAAAUGAACAAAAUGUUGUUAAAAUAUUUUUGUAAGUUUUUAAUUUUGGCUUAAUUAAUGAUGAACAGUGUAGAAAUAGCCCUAGGACAAACUUCACUCCUUUGCAAUCCAUCAGCGGUAGUGGUUGUCCAUCAAACACUGGUAAAUAUAUAUAUAUAUAACAGUAAUUCGCAACGUGUCUUUAUUAUCAAAAAGAAACAUUUGUAUGAUGUAUUUUGUUUUCUGUCCCUCUUGUGCAAUGCAAAAGGUUUUUUUGAUCAACAUCAUUAUUACGUGCAAUAAGUAAUUUUUAAAUAUAUGAAGCUACUUUUUAAAGAAGAGGUGACUUUAUUAAGAACGUAAAUGUGUAAAUAAUAAAACCUCUUUAACAUUAAAGUAAUGUUACGAAGUACAUUUAUUUCUAUAUUUAUACAUAGGUUUUUAAAAGGAAAUGCCCCAAGACGUACAUCGCGAUAUCGAAACUGAUGUAGAAAAGCCUACAAGUACAUAUACAGAGUACUGAACAAUAAUCAGUAAAGACUAUGACCGGCAGGCGCUCGUCUGGGACAGAAGGUUUAAAAAGAUGAGCAAGCUCAUCUAACAUAGUCCUGUCGUAUCACCGAGCAUCAUGCUAGCAGAGAAAACCAAAUUCAAGUGAUAACAUAUUCACGUCAAAACACGUGCGAGGGUCCAAGGUAAACCGAAGGAGGAAAAGAUCUCCAGAAGUAGAAAUGCUAUACUCUGAGAAUCUCUAGGUGUUCGAUGGAAAAGCACGUAGAAACGACAGUAAACUUCUUCCAACAGUUCGAAUGGGCAUAUCGGAGAACCAAAUAGCAUCUACUAUAACCUUGUUCAUAACUUGACAAAAUAUACUUAAAUAAACUUCCAACUCCGCUUGCAUAUACAUGCAUAUAUCUCCAGAAUAAAACGUCAGAUUUACUGUAACAGUCUGUUUUUCGAAUAAAUGUUUGGUUUAUCAUGCUGUGUCCAUGUUUCAUUUAUGAUUUAUUGCAUAAUAAAAUACUUCUGGUAUAUCACGAUUUUAGCAAUAUCCAGAAGGAGUAAUGGUCACACCAUAUAUUCAUGUCCCUGAGAUAUAUUUUUUAUUCCCUGUUCGUCCGUCAGUUCCGUCUGUCAAACUUUGCUUCCGCCAUCCAUAUGACCCAGAGUAUUCAAACUUCAUAGGAUGAUUGGAUUGAUUGAGUAUGGUCUCUAUAUGCAUGUGCUUGGCACUACACUUCCACUCAAUAGCUUUGAUCAUUCUGUCAAGUUUCAAUUAAAUGUCUUUAAUAACUUUCGAGUUAUAUUCCAGACAAGCAUUAGUUAGAAUGAUAAAGGGAGAUAAUUAAAAACUAAAAAAAAUGAGUUAUGGUUCUUUGACACUGCACUUCCUCUCAUAUGUGAAGUUUCAA